UACGAAGGGGGCAAGUGUUGUUCGGAAUAACUGGGCGUAAAGCGCACGUAGGCGGAUUUGUAAGUCAGGGGUGAAAUCCCGGGGCUCAACCUCGGAACUGCCUUUGAUACUGCAAGUCUGGAGUCCGGAAGAGGUGAGUGGAAUUCCUAGUGUAGAGGUGAAAUUCGUAGAUAUUAGGAAGAACACCAGUGGCGAAGGCGGCUCACUGGUCCGGUACUGACGCUGCGGUGCGAAAGCGUGGGGAGCAAACAGG
rnacentral:rRNA from 1 species